CAAACCUGUUGCCUUUACCACUAGACCAUUUGCUCGUUGUUUGAAGCAUAACGCAACUUAUUCAUCUUGUUUUUUCUCUAGCUUGUAGUAUUAAAAUUCAACCAUUUUUGAAUCACAAAAUGGCGUCGGUAGGAUUUGAACCACAAUGUUACAUUACACAACAUGGAGUCUUUACCACUAUACCACUUGCUCGUUGUUGGAAGCCUAACGCAACAUAUCCACUUUAACCUUUUUUCGCUAGCUUGUGUAAUUAAUAAUCUACGCAUUUCAAGUCAGAAAAUGAUAUAUGUACGACUUGAACCACAAUUGUACAGAACACAACGUCGUCCUUUCCGCUAAAAAAUCUGCUAAAAAUGGACUAAAAGUUAAGGCUACAUAUAGCCUUACUUUUUUUGCCAUUUUUUGCCUCUUUUUC